UACCGGGAGCAGCAGUGGGGAAUAUUGGACAAUGGGCGCAAGCCUGAUCCCAGCAAUGCCGCGUGUGUGAAGAAGGCCCUCGGGUUUGUAAAGCACUUUUAUCCAGGAACGAAAUACCCACGGGUUAAUACCCUAUGGGGCUGACGGUACCUGAGGAAUAAGCACCGGCUAACUUCGUGCCAGCAGCCGCGGUAAUACGAAGGGUGCAAGCGUUAAUCGGAAUUACUGGGCGUAAAGGGUGCGUAGGCGGUUCGUUAAGUCUGUCGUGAAAUCCCCCGGGCUCAACCUGGGAAUGGCGAUGGAUACUGGCGAGCUAGAGUGUGUCAGAGGAUGGUGGAAUUCCCGGUGUAGCGGUGAAAUGCGUAGAGAUCGGGAGGAACAUCAGUGGCGAAGGCGGCCAUCUGGGACAACACUGACGCUGAAGCACGAAAGCGUGGGGAGCAAACAGGAUUAGAUACCCUGGUAGUCCACGCCCUAAACGAUGCGAACUGGGAUGUUGGUCUCAACUCGGAGAUCAGUGUCGAAGCUAACGCGUUAAGUUCGCCGCCUGGGGGAGUACGGUCGCAAGACUGAAACUCAAAGGAAUUGACGGGGGCCCGCACAAGCGGUGGAGGAGUGGGUUUAAUUCGAUGCAACGCGAAGAACCUUACCUGGCUUGACAUGUCCGGAAUCCUUGAGAGAAUCAGGAGUGCCUUCUGGGAAUCGGAACACA
rnacentral:rRNA from 1 species